GAUGAAGAACGUAGCGAAACGCGAUAAGUAAUGUGAAUUGCAGAAUCCAGUGAAUCAUCGAAUCUUUGAACGCACAUUGCGCCCGCCAGCAUUCUGGCGGGCAUGCCUGUUCGAGCGUCAUUUCAACCCUCGACCUCCCCUUGGGGAGGUCGGCGUUGGGGACCGGCAGCACACCGCCGGCCCUGAAAUGGAGUGGCGGACCGUCCGCGGCGACCUCUGCGCAGUAAUACAGCUCGCACCGGGACCCCGACGCGGCCACGCCGUAAAACACCCAACUUCUGAACGUUGACCUCGAAUCAGGUAGGACUACCCGCUGAACUUAAGCAUAUCAAUAAGCGGAGGA
rnacentral:misc_RNA from 1 species